GACGAACGCUGGCGGCGUGCUUAACACAUGCAAGUCGAACGGAAAGGCCCUGCUUUUGUGGGGUGCUCGAGUGGCGAACGGGUGAGUAACACGUGAGUAACCUGCCCUUGACUUUGGGAUAACUUCAGGAAACUGGGGCUAAUACCGGAUAGGAGCUCCUGCUGCAUGGUGGGGGUUGGAAAGUUUCGGCGGUUGGGGAUGGACUCGCGGCUUAUCAGCUUGUUGGUGGGGUAGUGGCUUACCAAGGCUUUGACGGGUAGCCGGCCUGAGAGGGUGACCGGCAACAUUGGGACUGAGAUACGGCCGAGACUCCUACGGGAGGCAGCAGUGGGGAUUAUUGCACAAUGGGCGGAAGCCUGAUGCAGCAACGCCGCGUGCGGGAUGACGGCCUUCGGGUUGUAAACCGCUUUCGCCUGGGACGAAGCGUGAGUGACGGUAAUGGGUAAAGAAGCACCGGCUAACGACG
rnacentral:rRNA from 1 species